ACAUUUACUCCACAACAUCCACUAGAGGGAGUCCCACGCUGUUGAAAUGUUUUAGUAUGUGAUCACACAGUCUAGAUUCUCCUCUCUCAUGAGACAGUUGUUAUGAAGAGCUUCAGAAAUGUAACCAACAGAUGAGUCUCCUCCUCCUGACUGAGCAGAUGUUUUAUAACAGGACUGUUUGAUUACUGCUGUGAACAUCAGACCAAACAAAACUCACUAAACUGAUUCCUCCUGAUCUCUCAGUUACAGCUUCUCGACUCUGCAAACAUGGACAAACUCACUGCUAUAUUUUUGUUAUCAGCUGUCACAGGUGUCAGCUGUGAAGAACUCACUCCAGUUCAGAAUGAAGAGCACAGUUUAGAAGACAGCACCGUCACUCUGUCAUACAGUUACUCCAAACUGUCAACUGGUGAUUCUGUCUUCUGGUAUCGACAACAUCCAGGAAAACAACCAGAGUUCAUCAUCUCUCACUCAUCAACAGGACGACUUAUAUCAGAUCCAGUCUCUGGACUGUCUGUUACAGUGAGAGAGGAUAAAAAACAUCUGGAUCUACAGAUCUCCUCUGCUGCACUGACUGACUCUGCUGUGUACUACUGUGCUCUGAAGCCCACAGUGACAGGAAACACCACAACUCUGUACAAAAACCUCUGGAGAGAAGACAACACAAUACUCCACAACAUCCACUAGAGGGAGUCACACACUGAUAAACUUUAGUUGUAUGUGUUGAUACAGU